UGCUACUUAUUUAGUUCUUGGAAAAGACACCAGUCUAUCACUACAUUGCUUCCUUAAGUAUGUUGGACUAAAAAUUUCAAAUAAAAAUUUCAUAGCAGUAACCAAUAUUCGCUGCACAUGUACAUUUACCUGAAAUUGUUCUGUUUGUACAGCGUAGGACAAAGUUUUCGGUCCAUUUAACAUUAAUACAGCCUUCCGAAAAUGUGGCAUUGUACCACUGAAUGCUGAUGCCAAUGACAAAUCCAAAUUGACUCCCGCAGACAAGGAUUUCACUUAUCCAAAGCCUGGACCAGGUGGGGACAAUCUGCAAUUAAAUCCAUUGUGCGACACAUGUGGUCAUUUUGUUCGAGGACAUCCCUUGGUCACACAAGGACUCAUUCCAAACGAUCUGGCAGAAAUCUUUGUUCCAAUUAUUGGCCCUGCAAUGAAAGAAAAAAAACACAAGGAUUGUGACAGAGUCCAGAGUUAUUACAGGAAGUGAAAUAGAUGCCCAAUUAAGAGAGAAAGAGAUGACCAAACACACAGCGCAGAAGAAAAGGGCCAGAAAAAAAAAACAUAAAAAAGGACAACAGUACGCCAUGAAGCUGAUGAUGUUGAAGCUAUAGACACACUGCCAACACUAAGUUGCCCAAAGAUAAGAAGACAGACUAAAACGAGUGAAAGGAAGAAAAAGGUUAAUAAGUUUAUAUAUCUGUACAUAUAUCAAGAAAAAAAUAUGGAAGCUGAAAUAAUGGCAAAAGAGAAUUCUGUUUGUGUACCUUCAGGAUAAUCCCUGUAUUUUAAACCUACAAAUGACAGUAAAAUAGCCCAAAUUUUCAGUGACUAUGAAUUAUAUAUAGUUUUAUUGGAGAAUCUCAUACAACUUAUAAUUAGCAGCUAAUCAACAUGUGCUGUUUGAUUAAUGAAUAUUGAAAAUGUUUAGUUUUAUGUUUGUCAUCUUAUGAAAUCAAAAAGAGUUUGUAUUGUAGACAGCUUGAUUGUUGUACUUAGCUGAAAUGUACUAGAAUUGAAAACCUCUAACAAAACAUUGCACUCAAGCAAACAAUUUAGAACCUUAAUUGUUUCUCUGAAAAAAACAGUAUUUAUACCUGCAUCAGAGGACACACCAAUGAUGAGGAUGAAGGGAUCCUUUGGGUGGGACACACCAAUGAUGAGGAUGAAGGGAUCCUUUGGGUGGGAUGCGAUAACACACUAUGCGGUCUCUGUUAGCAUCGUCAUUGUCUUGUGUCACAAAAUCAAACUGAUGUCUAUUUGAGUCUUAUAGCUUACUCAGACUGGUUCUGUCAAUUUUGUUGUCUAAAUGUGGACAAACAACUCCAAUCAGAGAGCCAAGAUCAUCGAAUAUCAAUGACGAUGAUACUAAUACUGUACCCAUUCAGCAAGAUAACCCGGAGUGUGACAAUGAAAAUUGCGAAAUCUCCAACGACAUGUUGAUUUGCCAAGUAUGCAUGGCCCACCAAAUUGUUUCGCCAAUCGAAACAGAGCUAUAUUGGGCAAUAGGUCAUUACUGUACCAAAUCCUAUCAUGCAACGUGUCUUCCUCCCAGAAGAUACCGGGCCUUUGAAUUGAGGAAGGCAGCAGGCUCGCCAUGGUGUUGUCAGAUGUGCCAUGCACUGUAAAAUCGAUCUAUCAUGAUACAUACCUUUCAAACAAUACAGUCAUAAUUUAAUAUGUGAAUCUGAUAUUUCAAUUAUGAAAUAAACAUUCUUUUCAAAUUAUAUUUUGAUUAAGUGUGCCAGAUUCCUAUGUUUUCCAUUCGUGUUCUUGCAAUAUCAUUCUUCAACUUGAACUCAAAUUGACUUGUAAUGUAGUAUCCAGCAAAAGACAGGGUUAAUCUGUGUAGAAUUUAUACGGAAUACAUGUUGAGAGCUUCAUUAUAUUUAUUUGGAUAAUGAAAGUAUGUAUGAUAUAAGCUAAAUAUAUAUGAAAUGGAAGAAUAUGUACAUGUAUGAUGAAUGUUAUUUCUGAACAAAUUACUGCGAUUCCAAUGUUUGAUUCAUACCUCAAUAAGUGGAGUAGA